rnacentral:rRNA from 1 species
UACGGAGGAUCCAAGCGUUAUCCGGAUUUAUUGGGUUUAGAGGGUGCGUAGGCGGAUUGAUAAGUUAGAGGUGAAAUGUCCGAGCUUAACUCGGGAACUGCCUCUAAUACUGUUGAUCUAGAGAGUAGAUGCGGUAGGCGGAAUGUAUGGUGUAGCGGUGAAAUGCUUAGAGAUCAUACAGAACACCGAUUGCGAAGGCAGCUUACCAAUCUAUAUCUGACGUUGAGGCACGAAAGCGUGGGGAGCAAACAGG